GCCGUAACGUAACAUGGCGGCGCCCGUGGCCGGCUCUCGAGGGCUGCGGAAGAUGACGUCAGCAGAGGAGAGGGCUGGCUCGGCCGAGCUGCGCCCCCUUCGGCCCUGAAGUGGACAGAAACCCGACGCGCGGGCUGGCGAGGGCUCCCCCCACUCCACGGGCGGGCGCCGGGGGGCGGCAAGGACGCCGGGGUCCCGCGCCGCUGGGAGCGAGGUUGUCGAGUGCUUUGUCCCAAGACAGGACUGAGUGAUGAUGCCCGCGGCUGCUCCACGUCCUCAGGCUCAGCUGCAGGCGGCGUUCUCCAGCUUGGACCCAGACCUCAUCAUCUCCGGAAAGAGUACCUGUGCACGAGCCCCCCUUCAGAUCCCCCUCUGCCACCAGAGCCACGGGGCUCCAGCCUUUCCACUUCAUCCAGACCUGUGAGGGGAGAGGGUCAGGGAGCACCCAGUGCCUCACCCGUCUUCAGGUACCUGGGCGGUGGAGAGGUCAGCAGUCCAGACCCUUCCCAUCAGGGCCUGCUGUCCUUCGAGAUUGGAGUGAGGCCCAACUCUGCUUUUAGUUUACUUGAGUCAGUUUUUCUUCCUUCCGCCACCAAUCCCGAAGCUCAACGCUACGAUGUGUUGGAACUGUGUCCUGAUGUGUGUGUCAGACAUAAAGUAUUGUUACGUGUAUGUUGGUAUCUUUGGUGGACAGGUGAGAUCGUGCUGAUCUUGUAUCCACAUUUUAGCUUUCCAUCCCCCUAGGAUGCAACCCUCACCUUGCUUCCAGUUGCCCCACCCUAUGGACAGUCUACAGUGAGGACCCUCCAACGAGGCCCUCUCAGACCACAUGUAAGAGUCUGGGAGGUGCACGCCCCAGAGUCAGGGUGUUGGCCAAAGGUCACCAGGUAGUGUUAAAGAGGGCUGCUAAAAGUUCUCUAGGCAGGGGCUUCCCUGGUGGUGCAGUGGUUGAGAGUCCACCUGCCGAUGCAGGGGACACGGGUUCGUGCCCUGGUCCGGGAGGAUCCCACAUGCCGCGGAGCGGCUGGGCCCGUGAGCCAUGGCCGCUGAGCCUGCGCAUCCGGAGCCUGUGCUCCGCAACGGGAGAGGCCACAGAAGUGAGAGGCCCGUGUACCGCAAAAAAAAAAAAAAAAAGUUCCCUAGGCGGACUGUGCUGGUUCACCUCCCACAGUUGACACAGGCUUGUGAGAGCCAAUUGCUAAAUUUUCAGGAAUGUUAUAAGCUUGUCAUUAAACACUGCCAUUGUUAAAAAUGUAACUUCAGGGCUUUCCUGGUGGUGCAGUGGUUGAGAAUCCGCCUGCCAGUGCAGGGGACACAGGUUCAAGCCCUAGUCCAGGAAGAUCCCACAUGCCGCAGAGCAACUAAGCCCGUGUGCCACAACUACUGAGCCUGUGCUCUAGAGCCCGUGAGCCACAACUACUGGGCCCGUGUGCCACAACUACUGAAGCCCGUGUGCCUAGAGCCUGUGCUCCGCAACAAGAGAAGCCACCGCAAUGAGAAGCCCAUGCACCACAACGAAGAGUAGCCCCCGCUUGCCGCAACUAGAGAA
ensembl:lncRNA